UAAGGAAUAUUGGACAAUGGUGGCAACACUGAUCCAGCCAUGCCGCGUGCAGGAUGACAGCCCUAUGGGUCGUAAACUGCUUUUGUACGGGAAAAAAACACUCUUCGUGAAAGAGUACUGAUUGUACCGUAAGAAUAAGGAUCGGCUAACUCCGUGCCAGCAGCCGCGGUAAUACGGAGGAUCCAAGCGUUAUCCGGAUUCAUUGGGUUUAAAGGGUGCGUAGGCGGAAUUGUAAGUCAGUGGUGAAAGCCUGUUGCUUAACAACAGAACUGCCAUUGAUACUGCAAAUCUUGAGUACAUUUGAUGUGGGCGGAAUGUGUCAUGUAGCGGUGAAAUGCUUAGAUAUGACACAGAACACCGAUUGCGAAGGCAGCUCACAAAACUGUAACUGACGCUGAGGCACGAAAGCGUGGGUAUCAAACAGGAUUAGAUACCCCUGUAGUCC
rnacentral:rRNA from 1 species